UGCAGUUGGGAAUUAUCUGGGGCAAACACAAAAACCUGGCAAACUGUAGCAUUGUGGAAUAAAGAGAAAUCCUGCAGUAGAACAACUUGCAAGCAGAGGCAUCUAAGCAGAGAACUAAUCGCUUAAGAGUAUAUUUUUAUCGUUUGUUUUCUUGAAAGCAAGAAGGCAAAAUGGAAGUCAAGAAGUAAGAAUGGACAUCAUGAAAACAUCAGUAAGAAUUUCUGUUCUAAAAGUGGGUCGUUCAUUACAAGAUGAAGUAAAUCCAGCAGAACUGUGUGGAGCACUGAGGGCAUAGCAAAAUAAUGGAUCGUCAGUACCAGAUGAUUACACUUCAAAUACUUUGAUUCCAGCCCGUUCUGACUUCCUUGUCAGUACCAACUGGGGUACAAAUCAUCUCACUUGACAUCAAACCUGUAACCGUUAGGGGUGAAGUUAAGCUGGCUGAAGAUCAGAUUUGGCUGCUAUGGACAUUCUAAGUGCAUCUACAGAGGAAGCUUAAU